UACAGAGGCCCCGAGCAUUACCCGGAAUCACUGGGCGUAAAGGGUGUGUAGGCGGUCGUAUUAGUCUUUUGUAAAAGCACUGGGGCUUAACCCCGGUAAUGCGAAAGAAACGGUACGGCUACGAGGACGUAAGAGGUAAAGGGAACUCAUGGUGUAGGGGUGAAAUCCGUUGAUAUCAUGGGGAACACCAAAUGCGAAGGCACUUUACUGGUACGCUCCUGACGCUGAAACACGAAAGCGUGGGAAUCGAACGGG
rnacentral:rRNA from 1 species